UACGUACGAGGCGAGCGUUAUCCGGAAUCACUGGGCGUAAAGGGUGCGUAGGCGGGUCUUUAAGUCAGGGGUGAAAUCCUGGAGCUCAACUCCAGAACUGCCUUUGAUACUGAAGAUCUUGAGUUCGGGAGAGGUGAGUGGAACUGCGAGUGUAGAGGUGAAAUUCGUAGAUAUUCGCAAGAACACCAGUGGCGAAGGCGGCUCACUGGCCCGAUACUGACGCUGAGGCACGAAAGCGUGGGGAGCAAACAGG
rnacentral:rRNA from 1 species